rnacentral:rRNA from 1 species
GAUGAACGCUGGCGGCGUGCCUAACACAUGCAAGUCGAGCGAGAUCUUCUGGAACGAAACUUCGGUCUAGCGAAGGAAGUGGAAGCGGCGGACGGGUGAGUAACGCGUAGGCAACCUGCCCCAUACAGAGGGAUAGCCUCGGGAAACCGGGAUUAAAACCUCAUAACGCGAUCUGGUCACAUGGCCGGAUCGCCAAUGAUUUAUCGGUAUGGGAUGGGCCUGCGUCUGAUCAGCUAGUUGGUGAGGUAACGGCUCACCAAGGCGACGAUCAGUAGCCGACCUGAGAGGGUAAUCGGCCACAUUGGAACUGAGACACGGUCCAAACUCCUACGGGAGGCAGCAGUGGGGAAUAUUGCACAAUGGGCGAAAGCCUGAUGCAGCAACGCCGCGUGAGUGAUGAAGGCCUUUGGGUCGUAAAGCUCUGUCCUAAGGGAAGAAACAAAUGACGGUACCUUAGGAGGAAGCCCCGGCUAACUACGUGCCAGCAGCCGCAGUAAAAC